rnacentral:rRNA from 1 species
UACGAAGGGAGCUAGCGUUGUUCGGAAUCACUGGGCGUAAAGCGCACGUAGGCGGAUUUGUCAGUCAGGGGUGAAAUCCCGGGGCUCAACCUCGGAACUGCCUUUGAUACAGCAAGUCUUGUGAGUUCGAGAGAGGUGGGUGGAAUUCCUAGUGUAGAGGUGAAAUUCGUAGAUAUUAGGAAGAACACCGGUGGCGAAGGCGGCCCACUGGCUCGAUACUGACGCUGAGGUGCGAAAGCGUGGGGAGCAAACAGG